CUCACUUCCUUCUCUCUCUUGGAACAACUCUCCCUCUUUCUCAAAUUACAGAACAACUAUCUCCAUCUCUUUCUCUCUCUCCAUUUUCUCUCUUUGCCGUGAAACCCUAGCGCCGUAGAAGACGAACUCCCAAAGGCCAAAAAAUAAUACCCACAAAAAUCCUUGUCUCUGAUUCUAUGAACCGAAAUUUGCCAUCGCCCUCUUUCCCACUCAUCUCUGUUUCUCUUUCCUCGCCAAUAUUAAAAGAUUUGAUUAUUACUAGAGGAAUGACAUGACAGAGAUGGUGGCCAGUUAAAUAUGAGAGGACAUGUUUGAAAAAUGGAAGGAAUCUUCUUUGAUUUACUGGUGCUGGCACCUCUACCCUUCCUAGGACUUUUAGACAGUUCAAUUCAUGGUUCAGUAUGGCUUUCUUACAGUGCUACCCUUUCUCCACCCUAGAAAAGAUCCAAUGGACUAUGAGAGGAUUGAGAAAGUUCAGCCAUGGACCAUAAAAAUGAGAAUGUUGAGCUUCUUCUAAGGGAGAUAACGGUAAUCACUAUCAACUCACUGUUGUUUAAAGUCUUAGAUUCAUUCUAACAUGUUUCAUG